AAACAGUGACCGAACGCUUUGGUAAAGAGCGGAAAAGAAUAUUGGAAUUGAUGAAAAAGCUCCUCUUGUGUACGAUAUGCCUGAUUCCAAAGGAUUUUCAGUCGCUGAAUCAGAACCAAGUCUUAUAGCACCUUUAAGGAAACGACGAGAAUAAUAAUAAAGAAUGCAACCAGCCACUGCAGCCAGCAGGAUAGAGAAUAUAAUAGUCAAAAAGAUACUCCAUCCUCCAGGUUUUGGAUGAGCUUUGUAAUAAUCAUCUUCUUUGCCGGGACAUGGAUGAAGCGUUCCAGCGUCCAAAGGUACCCCACCUUCACAUUCUGUUAAAGGAGUGCGUUUAUAACCAGUUGGCUGUCUCCAUUCAAAAGCAUCAUCUACUGAACAUUGUUCUUCACGAGUAUCGGGUGGCUGUAAACCGCUAACAAGUACGCAAGUGCCAUCUUUGAGACGUCGAUAAUUAUAAUCACACUCAAAGUCUGCACGAGUACACUCACAUUUAGAAAGUACUUCUUCUUUAACCAAUAAACUAGAUCCAACCCUGCAUUUUUUAUGUAUGCUCUUUCUGUAAAAAGAUGAAAUACGUCCGCGUAAACAGAGUGGCUUACCACUUAUAUCCGUCGGAACCCAUCUAACAAAAUCGCUUUCUUCAGAAUUUUCCUCAUCGAAAACACAGGUACGGCGAUAUAAAGCAUCAAAAUCAAUUAGAACAGAAGAAAUAGGUGCAUUUUCAUCAUCAGUCGUCAGUAGCAGUACCUGAUGUCCGACACCAGAGGGCUUCGUACUGACAUCAACGACUACCUUGCUCUUUUCAGAGAAUUGAUAUUCUUGCCAAGUACGCCCCUCAUCUGCAGAAUAUUUAAUCACAUUCGUUGGGGAUAUGCUUUCAACUGCAAUAAUAAUGGAACCGCUGUCUAAAAAGGCCCAUAGAUGGGGUGAGUCAAAAAUCCGAUACCAGGUAACACCUGCGUCUCUAGAAAUAAAUGUUUGCGAUUCUUCAUAAGGGAUGAGAAAUGGAGAAAAGCUUCCGACGCCAAUGAUUAAACCAACAGCAGCAUUGGUCGAAGUGGGAUCAGAGAACUGGUUUCUUUCUGUAUAGCCAUGCAAAUGUAAAUAGCAAUUUUUGCCGCAUUUAGGAACAAUUUUUUCCCCACCAACAAGGUUCAAAUAACUCCAAUCUAACCCAUCGUUGAAAGUUAUCAAUGUUUGAAGUUUCUUCGUUCCGCCAUCAGUCAAUUCUUUGGUAUUACUGACUAUGUUUGCCAAAGCUAUACCUUGUAUCCCUUCUAAACGUUCAAAAUCAACAUAUCCAACAGAAUCCCGAUUCACGUUCGCCAAUGAGGUCAUGAAAUAAGUGCCGUUUGAGUUUGAUUUCAAAAUGUCGCCCCAUUCAGAUCCUAAGUGCGUGUUAGUUGUUACGUGAAUAAAUAAAGAAUGUGUUUGCGAAUCCAAUAUAGUAUAAGCCUGCUUUGGAUGUACAUUUAAAUAAGCAGGGAAACUACAGGAAGCAAAAUUUAAUCCAUUGAUCGAAACAUCUAGUGAAAGAGAAGUUCCCUCUUCGUCUUGAACUGCUACAAUCACGUAUUCAUCUUCAAUCAUAAAUCCAACGACAUCGUUCAGAAUUUCGUCCUGUUCAUACUCAAAAAAGUCAAUUGAAGAAAUAAGCUCCUUUUUAAAUGGAUCAUUUGUGUUUUGUCUAAUGCAAAAAAUCAAAGUAUCAUCGACGACUAAUUUCUCUGCCUUGGCCCAAGAACAGUACUCAAGGUUUGAUGGCAAUCUCGACCAUGUAUCACCAAAAUCUAACGAAACGAAUACGACGUCUCUACAGUCGUCAGCAAAGGGAUUUUUUUCGCAAUUUUCUGAUCCAGCAUAAAGUAACCAAGCAGGCCGUGAUGGGUGGAAGGAAAAUAAUGAUUUACCAUUUUGAUUAGGAGGUGAAGGAGCUUUAAAUUUAUAAAAGUUUUUACCUCGAUUGGUUGUGAAAUAUACAAUAUUUUUGGACGUAACCAUAUAGACCGAGUUUUUAUUGUAAGCAUGAGGAAGCACGCUAGAAAAUUCUUCCUUCGAAAACUUGUCCCAAGUCUUACCCUCAUCUUCGCUGAAAUAGACAUGAGAGUUGACAGAUAUACCAAUUAGAAAUGUGUUUUCCUCAGGAACCGUACCUUCGAGAUAAACUACAUCAACAAUUUUUUCAUCGAAAUCAUAAAGAAAAGAUGUUAUUUCAGUGCCAGGUUCAUUAAAUGAAUCACAGUUAAAUGUUUGAGGCUCUCUAUGAGAAUCUCUCUUGUUUGGAGUACAUUUAUUACCAGGAACAAGACGGUACGGAAUUUUUUGAAAUGUAUCCAGAUCUUCACUUGCACACAAUAGACUUCCUAUAAAAUCGAGUAGCUUGCACUCACCUUGAUCAUUUGAAAUAAACUGUGUAUUACACUCAUAAUCUUCGUCAGUACACUCACAAGCGUCAAAAGAGCCAUGAAGAUCGGUAAUAGAUUUUGGAACAGAGCAAACAGAGGUGGCCUUUUUCCUCCAAAAAAAUUCUUUUUUUCCCAUCUCAGAACAAAUAGGGCUUCCGUUGGCAUAACGAGUAUACCAUUUUUCAAAGUCGUUUUUAUUUGAUUCACUGUUACUAAAUUGACAUUCUUUCGGUAGAAACUUUCCGAAAUUAAAAGAAAAAAGUGAAUAAUUCGAUUGCUCGCCAUCGUCCGUCAUAGCCAAAAGGUAAAAAAUUUCGGCAUAGGGAUCUUCAGAGGCGAAGAGCUUAAUAGGCACGAUGGUCUUAUCCAGUGUAACAGUUACCCAGCUUUGUCCAUGAUCAAGGGAAUAAUAAACUUCAUUUAUUACAUCCAAAUAUUCGGAUGCGAAGAAGAUACUGCCAAAUCCGGACAUUGCAAAAAGGUGCAUACCAUCACGAGAUAAAGUCCAAUUUCUACCACCAUCUUCUGAAACAAACAAAUCCAUUUGAUUCUCAGAUAAGAGUCUAUCCCCCACUGAACCGGAUGCUAAUAAUAUCCCCGGAGCAAACUUUGAAGAAGCAAUUGAGGCAUGUGAAACGUGGGGAUCCAAGAACAAAUGUAGAGAACAUUGUUUCAUAGAAUUACAUGAGCUUUCUGGGGAUGCUACAGUAGACCAGGUUUUCCCUCCAUCAAAAGUAAUUCGAGAACUUAGGACUUUGUCCACUUGGGGAUCAACUUCUAUUUCAUCAACAUUUUCAACAACAUUAACAAAUUGAAGGCCAUCUAAGUAGUCAAUCAACAUAAAAUCGGUGUAUCCAUCAACAUAUCUAUUUGUAUUCAUUUGACGGAUUACGAAUGUAUUAGAUUCAGAAUCCAAUGAAUAUAAGAUACCGGUAGGAUUAUUAGGGUGUGAAUCCAAACUGUCG
rnacentral:lncRNA from 1 species